UGGCAAAGAGGGGAUUUAACCCCUAUAUGUGAGUUUACAGCCCACCGCCUGUAUCGGCCACCUUACC
rnacentral:tRNA from 1 species